rnacentral:lncRNA from 1 species
AACACUUCAGCCCUGCUCGAAUCCUCAGAAGUUGGGCAUGAGGUGGGAGCAUGAGGAAGGACGCGAGGAGGAGCGGGGACGGACACAAUAAUCCCGAGGCACUGUUACCGCAGACUUGGAGGAAUGCGCACUGCUGGACGCGGCCUGGCCCACAGAAAAGAACUACAAAACAAAAAGAAUCCACUCAGUUGACAGCAAUGACACCAAGAGACACAGCAGAGAGGAGGGUCAUGGAGCAGCAUCCGAAACACCCACAGAAAGCAGCAGCAGAGAAUGCGGGCGCAGAGAAGGUGCCACAGCAACGCACAUAGGCAAGCUCAGGUGCAGGGGCACCUGCAAGCACCGCUCUGGGCUUCGACUCCACGUGAAACUUACUAACUGCUCUUUUUAAAAACAUGAACUGUUACCAUUGAAUGUAAACAUUAAAUGUUCCUGUCAUAUGUGGAGGGUGCAUCAUCAAGUUAGGACACUAUUUAUUUUCCAAACUCACAGCCAUGAAAUGCUCACAUUUUAUGGUAAGAAUUGUGAAAAUCUACAGAUGAACCAAAUACCUACAGCUGACACUAACAUGCUGCACCUAACAUUCAGUAGAUAUUCAUUAAAUGAAUGAAUAUGAUGAUCGGGCUGAUACCUUUGGCCACAUAAGUAUUUCCUCGUCUAAAAUCUAGAAUGUACCCUUAAUUUGCAAGGGUACAGUGUGCUAUCUACAAGGUAUUCUUACAAAAGAGACUAGAGAUUGAAAAUACCAUAACACCUAUUACAUUUUUGGAACAAAUAAUAUGUUCCUUGACGUAAGUGGUCAAAGUUUGUACUAGCUAGGUGACUCUAAGCCCAGCAAAGAACAGAGGUGAUCACUUCAUCCCCGUAACACGCAAGAACAGCAUGAAAUAGAGGCGGAAGGAACCACUCAGAUUCACCCACGGUCAGGCCAUCGGGAUGCGGGGACAGAGGGACGGUGCCACCGAGUGGCUGGCAAGGGAAGAUGUUUGAAAAGGCAGUUCCCUACUUGGAAACAGCAUAAACUAGGAGAGAUAAAGCAUGUUUUACCUCUGGGCAACAUGUGGAAUCGGCCUUUACAUGUCAUUAAGAUGUCUCUAGGCUCUUGUGGUAAUACACAUCAAAAUAUUAGAAAUGCGACUCCAGUGUCCCAGAGGGGGGUGGAGAACAUAUGUCACCAGGGUGAUAUAAAAGAAGAGCACCCUUACAUGUUUUUCCUUCCAGGGUUAAGUCCCCCCAGGCGAUCUGAGGACAGGAAUAGCAGCAUUCUUUCUACUGAUAUAACCAAUGACCGCAUUUCCCCCCCAUUUAGUUUUCUAUUUAGUUCCCUCUUUUUGAAUAGAAACUCCCACUGAGGCAGAGCCUGGAUGAUCUCUUUCACAAAGUACCCUACAAAGCCCAAGAGUUUGAGAAACAGAUUAUUUUUAAAGGCAUGGGGCAAGGUCGUCUCUCCUGCCCUCGAGUCCUGCUCUCUGCCUGUGCCCCAGCCCGUUUGCUGGAUAGAGCCGCCCUCUACACAUUCACACGCUGCGGAGUCACAGCCUCACUUUCCACAUUCAAGCCAGAAAGAACAGGAAGUAAAGGACGAACAAGGCAAAGGGGUGUCACCUGUUCAUCAGCACUAAACCGCCUAGUCAUCUGAAAGCAAAAAUACAUCAGGAAAUCAAAACCAGCUUUGAGCCAAGAACGCGUGCUUCUUCUAUUGCCCUCUCUCUUAAUCCAGGGCCGUGUUGGUCAAACCGCAGGGGGUGACCCAUGAGUGCAUCAUGGACUCCAUUUAGUGGGUCAUGAACAGCAUUUAAAAUGGAGCAGAAAAUUCGAGUGCAUUUCUCAUGGUCAGAGGGAAACUCUUUCCCAGCAUGGAUCCUGGGCAAGGCCUAGCACAGCACCCAGCACGUUAAGACUCCGAUGUUGAGCUGUGGCCCUGUGCGGUCAGUUCAAAAGGAUUUUUUUUUUUUUUUUUUUUACCAGGAAUUAAAGGUGAACUAAGAAAAGAGACCCCUGUGGCUGGUGGAGAAUCCAAGUAUCAUGGGCAUUCUGGUCUAUUUCCAGAGCCCUCUUGCUAUUUCGUUUGAAGGACACAGAUGAUUCGGUGACUUUUUGCAUGACUCUACUUUUUCAAUGGCUGUGGCCCACUCCUAAGAGUGGUUCUCGGGAGGCUGAGGCAGGAGAAUUGCUUGAACCUGGGAGAUGGAGGUUGCGAUGAGCUGAGAUCGUGCCAUUGCACCCCAGCCUGGGCAACAAGAGCCAAACUCCGUCUCAAAAAAUACACAAACAAACAAAAAACAUACCGGGCAGCAUGGUGAGACCUCGUAUCUAUAUUUAAUUAGAAAUAAAUAAAUAAACAAAAAUUUAAAAAAAACCCAAAGCACACCUUCCUUGUAGAAAACUGAGACCACUGAACUACAGAAGCUAGAACUAACAUCUCUUGAUAUUUUAGUCAUGAUUCUUCCAGUUUUUUUCCCUAUGACUGUGUAUGUUUUUAACUAACAAAACAGUACCAUCACAUACAUACGUAUAGAUACAGAAACAUGAGAUGGAUACAUACAUUCUGUGGUAUGGUUCUGUGACCUGCCUUUUUGUACUUGUAUCGUGAAUGUCUCUCCCUGGCAUUAAAUAUUCUAUCACAUCA